GAUGAACGCUGGCGGCGUGCCUAAUACAUGCCAGUCGAGCGAACGGACGAGAAGCUUGCUUCUCUGAUGUUAGCGGCGGACGGGUGAGUAACACGUGGAUAACCUACCUAUAAGACUGGGAUAACUUCGUGAAACCGUAGCUAAUACCGGAUAAUAUUUUGAACCGCAUGGUUCAAAAGUGAAAGACGGUCUUGCUGUCACUUAUAGAUGGAUCCGCGCUGCAUUAGCUAGUUGGUAAGGUAACGGCUUACCAAGGCAACGAUGCAUAGCCGACCUGAGAGCGUGAUCGGCCACACGGGAAGUGAGACACGGUCCAGACUCCUGCGGGAGGAAGCAGUAGAGAAUCUUCCGCAAGGGGCGAAAGCGUGAUGGAGGAACGCCGCGUGAGGGAUGAAGGUCUUAGGAUCGUAAAGCUCUGAUAUUAGGGAAGAACAUAUGUGUAAGUAACUGUGCACAUCUUGACGGUACCUAAUCAAAAAGCCACGGCUAACUACGUG
rnacentral:rRNA from 1 species